rnacentral:rRNA from 1 species
UGCCAGCAGCCGCGGUAAUACGGAGGGUGCAAGCAUUAAUCGGAUUUAUUGGGCGUAAAGAGCGCGUAGGUGGGAAGGUUAGUCAGAUGUGAAAGCCCAGGGCUCAACCCUGGAAUUGCAUUUGAAACUGCCCUUCUUGAGGGUAGGCGGAGAAAACGGAAUUCCACGUGUAGCGGUGAAAUGCGUAGAUAUGUGGAAGAACACCCGUGGCGAAAGCGGUUUUCUAGCUUAUACCUGACACUAAGGCGCGAAAGCGAGGGGAGCGAACAGGAUUAGAUA